rnacentral:rRNA from 1 species
GAUGAACGCUAGCGGCAGGCCUAACACAUGCAAGUCGAGGGGCAUCGCGGUGCAGCAAUGCACUGGCGGCGACCGGCGUACGGGUGCGUAACGCGUAUGCAACCUGCCCCGCACCGGGGGAUAGCCCGCCGAAAGGCGGAUUAAUACCCCAUGGUCCCGGGGGCCCGCAUGGGCAUCCGGGUAAAGCCUUGGCGGUGCGGGAUAGGCAUGCGUGCCAUUAGCUGGCUGGUGGGGUAACGGCCCACCAGGGCAACGAUGGCUAGGGGGUCUGAGAGGAUGGUCCCCCACACUGGUACUGAGACACGGACCAGACUCCUACGGGAGGCAGCAGUGAGGAAUAUUGGUCAAUGGGCGGAAGCCUGAACCAGCCAUGCCGCGUGCGGGAUGAAGGCCCUACGGGUUGUAAACCGCUUUUCCCCGGGAAGAAUAACCCCGAUGAGUCGGGGAUGCCGGUACCGGGGGAAUAAGGAUCGGCUAACUCCGUG